rnacentral:rRNA from 1 species
GAUGAACGCUGGCGGCGUGCCUAAUACAUGCAAGUCGAGCGAACGGACGAGAAGCUUGCUUCUCUGAUGUUAGCGGCGGACGGGUGAGUAACACGUGUAUAACCUGCCUAUAAGACUGGGAUAACUUCGGGAAACCGGAGCUAAUACCGGAUAAUAUUUUGAACCGCAUGGUUCAAAAGUGAAAGACGGUCUUGCUGUCACUUAUAGAUGGAUCCGCGCUGCAUUAGCUAGUUGGUAAGGUAACGGCUUACCAAGGCAACGAUGCAUAGCCGACCUGAGAGAGUGAUCGGCCACACUGGAGCUGGGACACGGUCCAGACUCCUACGGGAGGCAGCAGUAGGGAAUCUUCCGCAAUGGGCGAAAGCCUGACGGAGCAACGCCGCGUGAGAGAUGAAGGUCUUCGGAUCGUAAAACUCUGUUAUUAGGGAAGAACAUAUGUGUAAGUAACUGUGCACAUCUUGACGGUACCUAAUCAGAAAGCCACGGCUAACUACGUG